rnacentral:lncRNA from 1 species
CUGCCUUUGUUGCUUUGACUCUCCAGAAAGUCUCCCUGGAGCUGGAAAGUGGCAUUACUGAAACAUUCCAGAAACGAGCUGAAGUCACUCAAGGAAGGCCUUGGGAACUAGGGUUUGGCCCGGUGGGCAGCGCAUGGUAGACAUUCACACGCGCUCCAGCACUGAACACUGCGACCUGGCAGGGCAGGUGGCAUCUCUACUUAACCAUGAGGGAACAGAGGCUCAGCCAGCACAUUGAGGCACCAGAAUUCAAAAGCCCAGUAUCCUCCCAGGACUCCAUCAAAGCAGAUGUGCAGAGGGCAGUAGGGCCUGAGCCAGAACCAACACCCCUGGGGGAGGCCCAUGAGACCUUUAGGAAAAUGAGACAGGCACAGGAAAGAGAUGUCUAAAGCCACCAUUCUGGGUUUGGGAAUGUAAAGAACUUCAAAUCAGAUAAAUGAAGACUGCAGAAGAAAGAGGAAGAAAUGGAAGUUGCUCUCUGACAGGACAUGAAUUUGGCAAGGGGUGGAUUAGGCCGAGUGCUAUCUGCAGUGAUGAAACGCAGCAGCUGGUGGUCAUGAAAUAGUUAUGAAUGGGGAGAGGACACUGUAUUCUGCAGUGUAGCACAGGGGAAAGCGAAGUUUCAAGAAUACUGUAAUAGCAAAACCCUCCAUUAAUUAUCGGAAGCAAGCUGUAAUGCCAGUUCCUAUGGCAACGGGGUCCCCAAUGGAUUUUGUACUUUUUUUAAAGCUGCU